GUCUAGGGAUGAAAUUGCUUACCCUGUCGAUAAACUGAGGAUUCAUCAGGAGUUCGAUAAUGGGAAAUGGUUUGUUACUAAUCACAAAUGGUCUUGAAUCCACAUUGCUGAUGGUAGUGUUUAUGGUGCUGACUGUAUAAUAUUGUGUUGGUGUCUUUAAUCGCCACUCUAGCGACGGUUUCAAGGGCUGACGAACAAAUAAUUGACCAAUUGAUCAUGACUGGAGACAGUGAUCAAAUCUUGCAGAAAGCUAUUCAGCAACACGGGCGAGGCCAGGUAAUGGACACCCUGACAGAAAUUCAGGAACGUCAUGGGGUUGUUAGAGAC